AGGAGGAGAAGUAGGAGGAGGAGGAGGAGGGGAAGGAAGGCAGGAAGGAGGAGUGAAGAGCAAAAAAAAGGCACCGCGGCAGAGGCGCCGGCAGCAGGGAGAGGGUCGGCGGCCGGCGGGCACCCCCGCACCCAUCAGCCGGAUCAAGACUCCGUGUGGAUUAAACCUUUGGAAA